rnacentral:lncRNA from 1 species
UUUUUAGCUUUGUUCCAAGGUUUGAUUCAAUGCAAAUUAGGAGAAAACAAUGUGUAUAAGGGAGUUGGCCAACCACCAUUUCAUAUCCAUCAUCACAGCAACACUGCUAGGAAGUUGAGUUUACGCAAUAAAGGGGGAUAGGCCAAUGGCCUAUUCACUUGUGUGAGAGAAAUGACACUCUCUUAUUGGGACAAAGGCUUAUAACUCAGCACUUUAGCAAUUUGGCUCUUGUAGUAAAUUUUCCUAGCUCAAUAUUGCUACAUUAAAUUAAGUUAUGGGCACAUAUAUACACAUAUAUAUGUACCUACCCACAUAUAGAAAGUAUACUUAUAUUUUAAAUAUACACCAACAUAAUCUUAUUAUAAUAAUAACUUACUUAUUUGUUUUCUAUCAAAUAAAU